GACGAACGCUGGCGGCGUGCUUAACACAUGCAAGUCGAACGAAGAGCGAUGGAAGCUUGCUUCUAUCAAUCUUAGUGGCGAACGGGUGAGUAACGCGUAAUCAACCUGCCCUUCAGAGGGGGACAACAGUUGGAAACGACUGCUAAUACCGCAUACGAUCUAAUCUUGGCAUCGAGGAUAGAUGAAAGGUGGCCUCUACAUGUAAGCUAUCACUGAAGGAGGGUAUUGCGUCUGAUUAGGUAGUUGGAGGGGUAACGGCCCACCCAGGGGAUGAUAAGUAGCCGGUCUGAGAGGAUGAACGGCCACAUUGGGACUGAGACACGGCCCAGACGCCUACGGGAGGCAGCAGUGGGGAAUCUUCCGCAAUGGACGAAAGUCUGACGGAGCAACGCCGCGUGAGGGAUGACGGCCGUCGGGUUGGAAAGCUCUGUUAAUCGGGAGGAAAGGCCUUCUUGCGAAUAGUGAGAAGGAUUGACGGUACCGGAAUAGAAAGCCACGGCUAACUACGUG
rnacentral:rRNA from 1 species